rnacentral:rRNA from 1 species
GAUGAACGCUGGCGGCGUGCCUAAUACAUGCAAGUAGAACGCUGAAGGAGGAGCUUGGUCUUCUGGAUGAGUUGCGAACGGGUGAGUAACGCGUAGGUAACCUGCCUGGUAGCGGGGGAUAACUAUUGGAAACGAUAGCUAAUACCGCAUGACAACAGUUAUUGCAUGAUAACUGUUUAAAAGGGGCAACUGCUCCACUACCAGAUGGACCUGCGUUGUAUUAGCUAGUUGGUGAGGUAACGGCACACCAAGGCGACGAUACAUAGCCGACCUGAGAGGGUGAUCGGCCACACUGGGACUGAGACACGGCCCAGACUCCUACGGGAGGCAGCAGUAGGGAAUCUUCGGCAAUGGACGGAAGUCUGACCGAGCAACGCCGCGUGAGUGAAGAAGGUUUUCGGAUCGUAAAGCUCUGUUGUAAGAGAAGAACGAGUGUGAGAGUGGAAAGUUCACACUGUGACGGUAUCUUACCAGAAAGGGACGGCUAACUACGUG